GGACGAACGCUGGSGGCGUGCUUAACACAUGCAAGUCGAACGGUGACGAUGGGGCUUGCCCUGUCUGAUCAGUGGCGAACGGGUGAGUAACACGUGAGUAACCUGCCCCUCACUCUGGGAUAACCUCGGGAAAUCGUGGCUAAUACCGGAUAUGAGUUUCCACCGCAUGGUGGUUUCUGGAAAGUUUUUCGGUGAGGGAUGGACUCGCGGCCUAUCAGUUUGUUGGUGAGGUAAUGGCUCACCAAGGCGAUGACGGGUAGCCGGCCUGAGAGGGCGACCGGCCACACUGGGACUGAGACACGGCCCAGACUCCUACGGGAGGCAGCAGUGGGGAAUAUUGCACAAUGGGCGAAAGCCUGAUGCAGCGACGCCGCGUGAGGGAUGACGGCCUUCGGGUUGUAAACCUCUUUCAGCAGGGAAGAAGCGAAAGUGACGGUMCCUGCAGAAGAAGCGCCGGCUAACUAC
rnacentral:rRNA from 1 species